AUACUUACCUGGACGGGGUCAACGGGCGAUCAAGAAGGGCCCGUGGCCUAGGCCAACGCCCCACAUUGCACUUGGUGGGCGCGUUGGCUUACCAUCUCCCCAAGUGGGAGAGUGGACGUCAUAAUUUAUAAUUUGUGAUAGAGGGGGUACGCGUUCGCGCGGCCCCUG
rnacentral:snRNA from 1 species